CGCGGAGCGUGGGGACCGACGUGAGCACCAAUUAUUUCAGAGAAAUUGAUGGUCACUGAAGAAGCUUGUUAAAGAAUUUGCCUUCAAUGUGACAAGGGUAACCAUUGGACAUGACGCUGCUCUUGCUGAACUGCUUGAUGGUAUGCUGCAUGAGCUGGAUAUGCAGGAUCCACAGAAAAAUGACUGCUGAGCUUGCCUAAAGGAAUCCAAGAUGACCGUGCGA